CAAACUGCCACCGGAACUGCUUUAAAAAUGUUUGGUUCACAGCCUUCACUGGAUUACCUAUUGGAGCAAACAAAGUGUAACCAUGUAAAACCUGUGAGCUUGUAUUGAUAUCUCAUGGCUAGAGUUCCAAGCGAAUGGGUCUCAUGAGAUCUGAUGGUUUUGAAAAUGGGAGUUGCCCUGCACAAGCUCUCCUUUUGCCUGCUGCCAUCCACAUAAGAUGUGAUUUGCUCUUCCUUGCCUUCCACCAUGAUUGUGAGGCCUUCCCAGCAUGUGGAAAUUUGCAGGAAUUUAGCCAAUUCAGAGGUCUUGUUCUCCAUAAUUUGGAAUUUUCCUUCGGAUUUGAUCAAGUUGGAUAGAGUUGGUCAAACCCAAUGGGAAAAAGAUGAAAACAACAAGAAACAGAAACAAACAGCAACAACAACAACAACAAAAACAAUGCAUUUAAUUAAAUGAAGAUGAGCUCAUGCUGGAGUAGGGUGGACUCUGAACCCAGUGGGACAAGCGUCCUUAUUAAGAAGAGGGAAAUCUGGACACACACAGAGCAGAGACCGCCGUGUGAAGAUGGAGGCAGAGAUCGGAGAGAUGCUGCCACACGCCACAAAUGCCUGGGGCUCCCAGAAACUACACGGAGCCUCCCCCAGCGGCUUCAGCAGGAGCAUGGCUCGGCCAACACUUUGAUCUUGGUCUUCCAGCCUCCAGAACGUUUUCCUAAAAUUCCCUUUUCCACUGGUGUGUGGUGCAAGAUGAGGCACAUUUUCCAUGGAUGGUGAACAGAGGGAGGAGCCUUUUGAUCACAACCAGGUCACCCCACUUCUAAGCCACUGUGCCUCCAGCCCCACAAGACUAAGGAGAGAGAGCGCAGCGUGGUGGAGAGUGAGCUGUGCUGGGACCAUUGUUUCCGUAACCUCGUUUUCUGUGUCCAGCUGACACACCUUCAAAGUGGCAUCAGGUCCUAAACUGUAGCUUGCAAUGUGCCUGUUUCCAGAAACCAAGGUGAAAGUGCUUUUAGACAGUGUUCCCAUGCAAGAGUCCCUUCCCAGCUUUUUUCUGGAAAUGCAUGUUUCUCUGAACUCUGAGUCCCAAGAAAAAUCACUUGAGACACCAAGAAAAUGGGGGAAGUGCUAAAAUUGUGUGGGAAUUCAAGCUUAACAAUAAACAUCAAGACAUUUUUGAUAAAAAUGAAUCCACUGACAUCGGGGAGGAGCAAGAGAACAGCACGCUGACACUGGGUCAGAGGCUAAGACCGACAUUUCUGGGAACCACUCCCGGAAGGGCACAGAGGAGACGCUUUCAGCCUCUCAUCAGCCAGCCUGGCCUGUAGCUGCUGCACGUUAUGAGUGUGUUCCUGGCAUGACUGCUUCUAACAGCGACCAUUUCAUUAAGUUUUUAAGUGCCUGGUAAUUGCUUGGUUAUGACCGGUGUCUGCUCCAUGGCAGCCUCUUCCUGAAGAAAUGCUGAGGCAGUGUCACGCUGGUGUCUGUCCUCCUUACAGAAUGCCUGAACAGUUCCAUUGACUCAAAGUGAAGAUCAAAAGAACCAAAUGACAGCAAUAGCCAAGUGUAAUCAUCAGUAACCCUGUGUUCUAUCCACAGGUAAAAAACAAUCAUCCUCUUCAUUAUGGGUUUCAAUUUUAAAUGUAAUACAUUUUUAGAAAUGCCUAUUUCCUUUUAUAAUCUCUUUAUAUAAUCUAGGUUAUUCUGGCUCUUAGGUCUUCAUUUAGCUACUGAAAAGAUUUGAUCUCAAAUCAAUGAUCUAACCACCCAUGACCAUCUCCCACCUCUCUCCCCGUACACCCCCCAGCAUGAAUUCUGGGAACUCAGGUAAAAUGCUUUCUGGAAACCUGCCUGUAUUAGUCUGUUGUCAAGCUGCUAAUAAACACAUACCCGAAACUGGGUAGUUUAUAAAGGAAAGAGGUUUCCUUUAUAGUUCCACAUGGCUUGGGAGGCCUCACAAUCAUGGUGGAAGGCGAAUGAGAAGCAAAGUCACAUCUUGCAUGGCAGCAGGGAAGAGAGAGUUUGUGUAGGGGAACACCCCUUUAAAAAACCAUCAGAUCUUGUGACACUCAUUCACUGUCACGAGAACAGCACGGGAAAGACCCGCCCCCAUGAUUCAAUUACCUCCCAUGACACAAGGGAAGUAUAGGAGCUACAAUUCACAAUGAGAUCUGGGUGGGGACACAGACAAACCAUGUCACCGCCUAAAACCAACUCAAUAGUCUAAGGAAUUUGACUGGGGAGAAUCUGGAGAGGAUUUAAUUAAUUUGGCAAAAGGAUUAGCAAUUGAAUCUAAGUGAGAAAAGAGAAUUCUUGGAGGAAAAAAAGAUGUUUAGUUACACUGAGAAAUUAAAACCUGAAGUAAUUGCCUUUGAGAUUUUUUUCAGGAAAUGAGUAUUGAUUGCCUACUGUGUGUCAAAUUAUGUGUUUCAUGUCAAAGACUCCAAAGUAGAUAAGAUAUAGGCCCAGCCUUGGGGAGCUCAUUGAGUCACAGAGAAAGUUUGAAUGUUUCAGAGGAAUCAUCAAGAACAGGGGAUCAGCAAUCUAUUAUAUUUUAAUUGCGUCUUUUCAUGAUUAUAAAAGCAAUGCAUGCGUGCUGAAGAGAAUUUGGAAAAACAAAGAAGAAAUUAAAAAUCGUCUCUGAUCCUGCCACCAGAAAUAACCACUGUUAGCAAUUGUAUCACUUCUGUAGGUCUACAUGGUUAUCAUAAUAAGCUCUAGUAUUGAUUACAUGCAUCUCAUGUACCAGAGAUUAUGCUAGACUCUCAUUUAAUCUGUACAUUAGCCCUAUGAAGUAGGGACCAUCAUUCUCCUCAUUUUACAGAUGAGGAAACAGAGGCUUGGAGAGGUUACUCUGCCUAAAGUCUCAUAGCUAGCGAGUGGCAGAGAUUGGACUCACCCAAGCUUUGUCUUAUUCUCAAGCUCUCAACCAACCCGGUGGUGAGAAGAGCCAGCAGCAAAGCCUGUCAUCUUUGUCUUCUUUUUUUUUCUAACCUCAAAUCAGGGAGAAAAUGCCCUUUGUCAUUAGAAGGGCAAGGCAAUUCUGAAGACAGCCCAGUUGGCUUGUCUCCGAUUUGGCUUUCAGGGGCCUGUCUGAUACCUAUGGAGAGACGAGGGCUGAACAAGCUGUACUCUCAAAACAAAACAAAGCAAAACAAAACUUUAGUCUCUUUAGGGACUCUCUGAUAGUAAUGCAGAGGGAGAAAGGCUUUCUUUGUCUCACUGGGAGGAAGGUUCCCUACGGAAAUUGAAGGCAGUGCCUGUUGACAUAGCGCUGCCACCUGGUGGAAAUAAUGGUGUAGGACAUCAUGUCCAGCACCACUAGCGCUGAGACACUCCCUGGGAAGAGAAAUGUUUGGAGAGAAAUUUGCAAGAAGUUGGAAGUCUCGCAGUAGCAGGUAGGAACAAGAAUUAUAACUGCUACUGUGACCCCCUAAGGCUCCUCACAUCCUCUUAAGGCUUGGAGAAACUCACACUAUGUAUAUUUUCCUGUAUUUUUGAAAAAUGUUUUCCUUUAUGCUUUGUUGUAAUGAAAUUACCUCUGAUGGUCACAUACCUUAAAUAUUUAGUAUAUAUAUGAAUACUAAAUGUCCAUUUUCAGGAGUUAGUUUACCUGCAUCUAAAAUCAGGAAUAGGUCACAGAGUAACUGAGCAAAAAGUGCUGUUAGGUUUGUGCAUUUCACCCUUUGCCUGGGAUGAGAGGACCUCAAUCAUCUUGGUACUAAUGACAGGAAAAGUGCCCUCCUAUCCAUGUGUAUCGGCUACGUGACUCAAGUCUCCUUAUUUCCUUUUCUAGCAUAACAAGGGGUUGUUACUGUUGUUUUACAUCUGUGUUAAUGAGAUAAAUAAGUUUAAAAUAAAAAGAUGUGUACCAGGCA